rnacentral:rRNA from 1 species
GACGAACGCUGGCGGCGUGCUUAACACAUGCAAGUCGAACGGUGAAGCUCCAGCUUGCUGGAGUGGAUCAGUCGCGAACGGGUGAGUAACACGUGAGCAACCUGCCCCUGACUCUGGAAUAAGCGCUGGAAACGGCGUCUAAUACUGGAUACGAGAAGGGUCCGCAUGGGCACUUUCUGGAAAGUUUUUCGGUUGGGGAUGGGCUCGCGGCCUAUCAGCUUGUUGGUGAGGUAAUGGCUCACCAAGGCGACGACGGGUAGCCGGCCUGAGAGGGCGACCGGCCACACUGGGACUGAGACACGGCCCAGACUCCUACGGGAGGCAGCAGUGGGGAAUAUUGCACAAUGGGCGAAAGCCUGAUGCAGCGACGCCGCGUGAGGGAUGACGGCCUUCGGGUUGUAAACCUCUUUCAGCAGGGAAGAAGCGAAAGUGACGGUACCUGCAGAAGAAGCACCGGCUAACUACGUG